UACGAAGGGGGCUAGCGUUGCUCGGAAUUACUGGGCGUAAAGGGCGCGUAGGCGGAUAGUUUAGUCAGAGGUGAAAGCCCAGGGCUCAACCCUGGAAUUGCCUUUGAUACUGGCUAUCUUGAGUUCGGGAGAGGUGAGUGGAACUCCGAGUGUAGAGGUGAAAUGCGUAGAGACCCGGAGGAACACCAGUGGCGAAGGCGGCUUCCUGGUCUGCAACUGACGCUGUGGCGCGAAAGCUAGGGGAGCAAACAGG
rnacentral:rRNA from 1 species